UACGUAGGGGGCUAGCGUUGUCCGGAAUCAUUGGGCGUAAAGAGCGUGUAGGCGGCCCGGUAAGUCCGCUGUGAAAGUCGGGGGCUCAACCCUCGAAUGCCGGUGGAUACUGUCGGGCUAGAGUGCGGAAGAGGCGAGUGGAAUUCCUGGUGUAGCGGUGAAAUGCGCAGAUAUCAGGAGGAACGCCGGAGGCGAAAGCGAGUGACUGGCGCGUUCCUGACGCUGAGGUGCGAAAGCUAGGGGAGCAAACAGG
rnacentral:rRNA from 1 species